GUCACUAUGGCUAAGUAGGCCCAGGCAGGCCCUAGGGGUUUAACAGGUUUUAACGUGGAAUCAGCCCCAACAUAGAGUAUAUAUUACUUAAGAAAAUAUUUUUA